CCUACGGGUGGCAGCAGUAGGGAAUAUUCCACAAUGGGCGAAAGCCUGAUGGAGCAACGCCGCGUGGGUGAAGAAGGUCCUCGGAACGUAAAACCCUGUUGUUAGAGAAGAAAGUGCGUGAGAGUAACUGUUCACGUUUCGACGGUAUCUAACCAGAAAGCCACGGCUAACUACGUGCCAGCAGCCGCGGUAAUACGUAGGGGGCAAGCGUGAUCCGGAUUUAUUGGGCGUAAAGGGAACGCAGGCGGUCUUUUAAGUCUGAGGUGAAAGCCUUCGGCUUAACCGGAGUAGUGCAUUGGAAACUGGGAGACUUGAGUGCAGAAGAGGAGAGUGGAAGUCCAUGUGUAGCGGUGAAAUGCGUAGAUAUAAGGAAGAACACCAGUGGCGAAAGCGGCUUUCUGGUCUGUAACUGACGCUGAGGUUCGAAAGCGUGGGUAGCAAACAGGAUUAGAUACCCAUGUAGUC
rnacentral:rRNA from 1 species